rnacentral:rRNA from 1 species
UACGAAGGGGGCUAGCGUUGCUCGGAAUCACUGGGCGUAAAGGGCGCGUAGGCGGGCGGUCAAGUCAGGGGUGAAAUCUUUCGGCUCAACCGGAAAAGUGCCUUUGAUACUGGCCGUCUGGAGGGAGGUAGGGGCGUGCGGAACUUUGGGUGGAGCGGUGAAAUGCGUAGAUAUCCAAAGGAACACCGGUGGCGAAAGCGGCGCACUGGACCAUAACUGACGCUGAGGCGCGAAAGCUAGGGGAGCAAACAGG